UGUGAAGUGUGAAAUAUGUCAUAAUUCCCCUACAUAAAUCAUAGUUGAAAAUUGAUGAUGAUCCUAUCCUAUGAGUCUGAAUUAUAAUCUCAACUUGACAAUCAGAGGAUGAGGCAUGAACAUGAUGAUACUCGAGUCGUGUGCUUAGAAAAAUUUUAUUUCUCCUAGAACGUUGAAUUUCAAAUAAUAAAGUACAUACUCGAGUUCUUUGAAGAAUCCUUUAUUGGGAACUCAGACUUCGACAGUUGUCUAGCUGCAUCGAUACCUUCUUAUAAAACUGCUGGCAGAGAAUCAUACCCUCUUUACUUUCAUUUUAUAAUCAGCAGGACAGUGUACUUUGGUUUAGAUAUUUUCUUCUCUCUCUACAUCCUACGAUUUUAUACACUGAAAACCCGACAAAACUUUGCCUAAUCCAUUCUAUUUCUAUCCGUUCUAGAUCUUAUUCAUGGCCUCUUUAUGUAUAAUGCACGUGAUUUCAAACAAGAUUUUCAUGCCGAUUGUUUUUCCUGAGUUGAAGUUGUUUCACUGUUUUUGUUGCGGUUGCUCGCUAUAAGGUCGACGUUUCAAUGACGAAUCUUUCAACUGUUCGCUUGCUUAGGAAAAGGUGAUGAAGCUUGAGGUUUUGGUCUUUGGUCUUCCAUUAACCAGAUAUUUCCUGUCUGCAAGAGCUCACAUAUAUUUGGCGUUUUUUUAUAUAUCCCUGGGGAGCUAGUCCACAAGUUAUGGGCCGUAAGUAUAGGUUUUGUAUGCUUGAGACAUUAAAAUAAUGAUGCAUGGAUGAAAUGUGGAGCAAGAUUUGAUUAAUCAAUGGAGUCUAUACUAUCUUCUUGAGAAUUUUAUCCAAGAAGGCUAAACAAUGUGUUUGUUAUCUAGCAUGGGAGAGCACAAAGGCAAGUCAAAUGAGCAAAUAAUGGAGGAGACAAGGUAGACAAGUGGGUGGCUCCAUGUUUUCCAAUUUCGGCAAAGACAAGAAUGCAAGGUGGUGAUACGAUGAUUGUAAACCCACCACCUUCUUUCUCUUGGAGAAGCAAGAAGCAUACAAUUCUUUGCUCUAUUGACAGAGGACUUCUGAGGUAAUACAACAAGAGCUGAUGUGACUUCUGAUGUAACUUCUAUUGUUCUCACAAGCUUAAGAUUUCUCUUUUGAUUACAAUUGAACUAUUGACAUAUCAAGAAGUCCUGAAAAGUUAUGAUAACUCUGAUGUAAAUUGAUUGUGGGCUAUGCUUGUAGCAGGAAACUUGUAAGAUGCAAAUCAAUCAAGGGGAUCUUGAAUCAUUAAUAUGUAAUUAGGGAAAAAUAUUAAUUCCCCAAGUAGUCACAUACUGACCUACAUGUGGUAAUAGUGGUCGAAUAGAUGUCUAUUGAUGGAGCUAGAUUGGAGGGCUGAUGUGCCUUAUAACCUUCAACACGAUUAUAGGAAGUGGCAGUUGGCAAGUAAUUGCAAUGGACCAAACAGAACCUGCAGAAUGGAGUCAAAAUCAAUCAUGAGUAGGAGGAUUUGACAAUGACUUGGGGUUGUUACAUACUCGAGAUGGUGUUUCAAUUAUUGAAUUGCCAUCUCAAGGGCUGCUUAUUUAGAAAGCUAUGAACACAAGUCCUUUGUUGUUUGCAGAGAUGUUGCAUUUGGCUGUAUAAAGGUCAAACUUUCUUGGAAGGAUGCAAUUCAGAAUGAAUGUUCAAUUGUAGACCUCCUAAGCAACAGUUGAUGAGUGGGCUUAUAUACAAUUUUUUACUUCCAAACUUAACUAGUUUAUUACUGGGUUGCAGAAAAGUGUGUUGUCUAUCAUCAUUCUAUUGACUAAUGCUGUUGGUAUCAGAUUUAUAUGUGUUCAUCCA